rnacentral:rRNA from 1 species
GACAAACGCUGGCGGCGUGCCUAACACAUGCAAGUCGAACGGAGUACAUUUCCUUCGGGAGGUGUACUUAGUGGCGGACUGGUGAGUAACGCGUGAGCAACCUGCCCUUCAGUGGGGGACAACAGUUGGAAACGGCUGCUAAUACCGCAUGACGUUAACGGUAGGCAUCUACUGUUAACUAAAGAUUAAUUGCUGAAGGAUGGGCUCGCGUCUGAUUAGAUAGUUGGUGAGGUAACGGCCCACCAAGUCGACGAUCAGUAGCCGGACUGAGAGGUUGAACGGCCACAUUGGGACUGAGAUACGGCCCAGACUCC